rnacentral:rRNA from 1 species
GCACCGGUGAUGCGAAUACUAUAGCGGCAUGAUCAUGGCCGUCCAAAUAUCGCCGGACAUCUCGAUCCAAUGGUGUGAUCGAUCCUCUUCCUCCUAUAAAUUGAGGAGGUGCGCUGGCCUCUCAUUCUCCUUAAGCAUAAGACAGCAACAAGCGACAGAGCCCCUUAGCGGCCACCAAUAAUCACUUUCUCUAUGCUUCUCUAGUCUCUACUAGCUAGCAAGUUCCUCUUACUAGGCAGCAAGCUAAAGUUGGUGUGGAGGUAGCUAGGAUGGGAGGGAAGUCGCCCUUCUCCUUCUUCUGCCCGAUAUUCAGCUUCCUGUCGAGGUCGAGUUCGAGCUCGAGGUACGACGACGGCUACAUGAGCGAUUGGGAGGGCCGGCCGAGGUGCGGGAGCAAGGUGCGGUCCAGCGACGAGGACUCCGGCUGGUGGGUCGGCGAGCGCGACGUCGACCGCAAGGCCGCCGACUACAUCAACGACUUCCACCAGAAAAAGGCACCACCAACACCUAGCUACUCCUAGGUAGCAUGCAACACUCGAUCAUGCAACCGUGUACCAGGAGACCAGGGCAUGAAGGUUCUUGAAUGGUUCCUCUUGUUAUCAUGCAUGUUCAGUUGUGUGGAUUUAGAGGAGGUACGAAUAAUUUUUGCUUGGCAGAUGUAGAUCUCUGUGUUCGUGUGUGUGCGUGUGGGGUGGGGGGAUCACAGGGAUGCGUCACAGAUGUAUUUGUUGUUUGCUGCCAAAUUAAGCGAUGAUCAUGAAUGUAUAGUGUGUUUCCAUGCAUACGUGUUAUGUUUGAUUAGUACUUCAGCGGAUUUGCUAAGACUAGCCACAAUGGGGAGUAAUUUAGACUAGUAAUAACAUGCAUAUGUUACUAGUGUAUGUUACUAUCUCUAUAGUGGCAAGUAACAUGUGUGUGAUAUCAUACAACACUUCAUUUAUUAGGUUGUACACUCAUCUUGUCUUGGUAUGUGUGAUGUUAAGUAACUAGCUAUGUUAACACAUGCCUCUCUUUCUUCAUUAGUUACUUGUCACAUCAUCUAUUUUGCCUGAAUACGUGUGAUGUUACCACAUAUGUUACUUCCAUUGUGGGUAGUCUAAGUCACACGCAACUGAUUAUUACUUGUGCCCCUCAAUUUCUCUGCAUGGUGAGCAGCAGCGUCCGAGGCCAGUUGCGGCGUCCCCGCGAGGCCUAGCGAGGAGUGAGCUGGCGACUACCCAGCUGGCCACGGCGUCGCAGAUGGAGGCGAGUUGGAGGUAUGUCGGGUUCAGGUCGGAGCCUUUUCAUGCUAACUGCAUGUCGGAUUGGACCGUGCCUAUGCCGGAGAUGCGAACUCCGAGGCAUGGGAAGUCAGGGCUCGGAUAGGAGAAAGGCAGGGCACAACUGGAGGAAGAGUGAACGGACUUCUGAGCAACUCUGAGCAAAAAUAAAACAAAAUCAGCCCCCAACAGUGCAUGAACAAUAAAUUUUUCCAUAAAUCUUGAUUUUUU